rnacentral:rRNA from 1 species
GGCUCAGGAUGAACGCUAAGCUACAGGCUUAACACAUGCAAGUCGAGGGGAAACGAUAUUGGAAGCUUGCUUCCGAUAGGCGUCGACCGGCGCACGGGUGAGUAACGCGUAUCCAACCUGCCCAUCACUUGGGGAUAACCUUGCGAAAGUAAGACUAAUACCCAAUGACGUCUCUAGAAGACAUCUGAAAGAGAUUAAAGAUUUAUCGGUGAUGGAUGGGGAUGCGUCUGAUUAGCUUGUUGGCGGGGUAACGGCCCACCAAGCCUUCGAUGGAUAGGGGUUCUGAGAGGAAGGUCCCCCACAUUGGAACUGAGACACGGUCCAAACUCCUACGGGAGGCAGCAGUGAGGAAUAUUGGUCAAUGGACGAGAGUCUGAACCAGCCAAGUAGCGUGAAGGAUGACUGCCCUAUGGGUUGUAAACUUCUUUUAUACGGGAAUAAAGUGAGGCCACGUGUGCCUUUUGUAUGUACCGUAUGAAUAAGGAUCGGCUAACUCCGUG